UUAUUUCAGCUCUAUUUUAAAAUUUUGUUAGUAUUUUAUAGUUGGACAAUUCACUUAAGAUGAAGAGGAAUUAGCCAAAUUCUAAACCAUCAUCAAAAAGAUGCACCCUACUGGCCUUGAUGGAAAUAGCAGAUGCACUCCACUAGACUUGAUGGAAACAGCAGAUGCAAUCACUUGACUUAUAAUGGAAAGAGCAGAUGCACCCAACUGGACAUGGAGGAAACAGCAGAUGCGCCCAACUGUACUUGGUGGAUACAGAAGAUGGACCCAACAGGACAUGGAGGAAACAGCAGAUGCACCUAACAGGACAUGGUAGAUACAACUGGAGGAGACUUGCCUGAUGAUGUUGACCUUCCAAACAAGACAUACCAAAGGAGAUAAUUGACACUGAUCAGAUAUACUGGUCAGAGACAAUAAGAAAGCUUGUGAUAGUAAACAAGGACAUGGCAUGGUGGAAACAGCUGGAGGAGGCAGGGCCAAUGGAUGCUAAUCUUCCAAGAUGUGGAAACAGCAGAUGUUCUCUUGAAGACAUGUAACAGUAGAUGCACCCAACUGGACACUGAUAGAAACAACUGGAUGAUACAUAGCCAGUAAAUGAUGAUCUUCCAAGAUGUGGAAACAGCAAAUGCACCCAACAGUACAUGGUGAAAACAGUAGAUGCACCCAAAAGGACCUGACAGAAACAAAUGGAGGAUGAAUAGCCAAAGGAUGCUGAUCUGACAUUUAUCAGCUGCAGCAAACAGAACCGUGUGGAAACAGUUAGAAUAGACAAGCUUGUGGAACAUCUUCCAAGAUGGGAAAACAGAAAAUGCACCCAAAAGGACUUGGUGAAAAAAUCUGGAGGAGGCAAGGCCAAUGAAUAUUGAGGCAAACUUUAUGGACAAUGAUUUUUCAAAUAUGCAAAAACACCAACUGCACCCAAAAGAUAUUAGUGGAAACAACUAAAACAGACAAACCUGAUGGACACUAUGGUCUUCAAGAUGUGGAAACAGCAGAUGCACCCGACAAGACUUGCUAAUGGAGGUUGACUUAUCCACCAAGACAUACCACAGUGGAGAGCUCAUACUGAUCAGAAAAUAAAAGAAAUUUUAGAAGUAACAUAUGUGGAUGAAGAAGCAGGACUUAAUUAAUGCAGGAUCAAUCCAAAUCUUCAAAGCACUGAUGAAAUUAUGCAUCCUAGUAACAGUUUUUUUUUCAAAGACUAUUUUUAAAAUAUUUUUGUAAAGGGUGUCCGAAUUAUGUUAGGGUAUGGGGUCGCCCAUUCGGACACGUGGGUUCUCUACGGGUACUCCGUCUUCCUCCCACACUGACCCCCGCUUUUCUCCUUCCUUGUUAUUAUGCCAAUGAGAUGAUAGUUCAUUAUUGUAAUUGUUUAGAUGAAGUUGAAUAUGUUCCAGAUAUAAUGAUUUUUAAAUAUGACAUAAGUAUUCCUAGAAUGUGUAAAUUUUUCCAGCUAUUGUUGCAAUAAUAAUUUGUGUAGUUGCCUCUUGGUUAUAAGCUUAUUGUGGAAUUGAAUGCAUUAUAUACUGAUGUGACUAAAUAUGCAGUGAAAGAAAUGGAUGUAAAAUUAAUUUCAUUUGAAAAAUGCAAGAUAUUGA